rfam:Myotis brandtii contig204389, whole genome shotgun sequence.
GGUGGUUCUCGGGUGACACACCCCAGAAUCAGGCUCCCUCCUCUCUGGUUCCGGGUGCGUCACCCGAGAACCACC